rnacentral:rRNA from 1 species
GAUCAUGGCUCAGAACGAACGCUGGCGGCAUGGAUUAGGCAUGCAAGUUGAACGAACCACUUCGGUGGAGAGUAGCGAAAGGGUGAGGAACGCGUGAGUAAUCUGCCUCCUAGUUGGGAAUAACAGUUGGAAACGACUGCUAAUACCGAAUGUGGCUUCAAUCCUGCAUGGGAUGGAGGCUAAAGAUUUAUCGCUAGGGGAUGAGCUCGCGUCCCAUUAGGUAGUUGGUGAGGUAACGG